rnacentral:rRNA from 1 species
GCCCUGGCAGUCAGAGGCGAUGAAGGACGUGCUAAUCUGCGAUAAGCGUCGGUAAGGUGAUAUGAACCGUUAUAACCGGCGAUUUCCGAAUGGGGAAACCCAGUGUGAUUCGUCACACUAUCAUUAACUGAAUCCAUAGGUUAAUGAGGCGAACCGGGGGAACUGAAACAUCUAAGUACCCCGAGGAAAAGAAAUCAACCGAGAUUCCCCCAGUAGCGGCGAGCGAACGGGGAGCAGCCCAGAGCCUGAAUCAGUGUGUGUGUUAGUGGAAGCGUCUGGAAAGGCGCGCGAUACAGGGUGACAGCCCCGUACACAAAAAUGCACAUACUGUGAGCUCGAUGAGUAGGGCGGGACACGUGGUAUCCUGUCUGAAUAUGGGGGGACCAUCCUCCAAGGCUAAAUACUCCUGACUGACCGAUAGUGAACCAGUACCGUGAGGGAAAGGCGAAAAGAACCCCGGCGAGGGGAGUGAAAAAGAACCUGAAACCGUGUACGUACAAGCAGUGGGAGCACGCUUAGGCGUGUGACUGCGUACCUUUUGUAUAAUGGGUCAGCGACUUAUAUUCUGUAGCAAGGUUAACCGAAUAGGGGAGCCGAAGGGAAACCGAGUCUUAACUGGGCGUUAAGUUGCAGGGUAUAGACCCGAAACCCGGUGAUCUAGCCAUGGGCAGGUUGAAGGUUGGGUAACACUAACUGGAGGACCGAACCGACUAAUGUUGAAAAAUUAGCGGAUGACUUGUGGCUGGGGGUGAAAGGCCAAUCAAACCGGGAGAUAGCUGGUUCUCCCCGAAAGCUAUUUAGGUAGCGCCUCGUGAAUUCAUCUCCGGGGGUAGAGCACUGUUUCGGCAAGGGGGUCAUCCCGACUUACCAACCCGAUGCAAACUGCGAAUACCGGAGAAUGUUAUCACGGGAGACACACGGCGGGUGCUAACGUCCGUCGUGAAGAGGGAAACAACCCAGACCGCCAGCUAAGGUCCCAAAGUCAUGGUUAAGUGGGAAACGAUGUGGGAAGGCCCAGACAGCCAGGAUGUUGGCUUAGAAGCAGCCAUCAUUUAAAGAAAGCGUAAUAGCUCACUGGUCGAGUCGGCCUGCGCGGAAGAUGUAACGGGGCUAAACCAUGCACCGAAGCUGCGGCAGCGACACUAUGUGUUGUUGGGUAGGGGAGCGUUCUGUAAGCCUGUGAAGGUGUGCUGUGAGGCAUGCUGGAGGUAUCAGAAGUGCGAAUGCUGACAUAAGUAACGAUAAAGCGGGUGAAAAGCCCGCUCGCCGGAAGACCAAGGGUUCCUGUCCAACGUUAAUCGGGGCAGGGUGAGUCGACCCCUAAGGCGAGGCCGAAAGGCGUAGUCGAUGGGAAACAGGUUAAUAUUCCUGUACUUGGUGUUACUGCGAAGGGGGGACGGAGAAGGCUAUGUUGGCCGGGCGACGGUUGUCCCGGUUUAAGCGUGUAGGCUGGU